rnacentral:sRNA from 1 species
UGAGAUGGACAAAUUGGAAAAGGCCAAAAAGGAGCGAACGAAAGUAAGUGAUGGCAGACCUCCUAGAUGAAAAAGGCAGGUGUGGAGUGCAUGGGUCCUGCUGGCUGAGCCCAGAAGGUGUCCAGGCUGCCCCCAACCCUGGCCCUGUGUCAUCGCCCGGUGAUGCUCUGAGCCCCUCAGCAGGGCCUGUGCGCUGAGCAGACCUGGUGGGUUCACGGCGCUCGUCUGCUGCUUUUGCCCUCAGAGGCUUGUUUGCUACAUUGUGCCCCCCUUUCCUCCCCGCCAAUUGCAGAGCCUUGGGGGGCUUUGUCUGUUUUGGGUCAUGGGGGCCCUCUGUGGCCUGAAGGGAGGGAAAUAGUUCCCUGAGAGAGUGCCGGGCCCAGCUUGCUCUGCGCGGUGAGUGUCUUGGCCUCCAGAGCUGCCCUCAGUGGCCUGCCUGGGUGCUACCUAUUAGGUCCCACGUUAGGGCCCUGAGCACCACUUGUUCCCCAGCAGUGUGGUCUGUGUUCUUCAGGGAGCAUCAGUUUGGCUGGGAGACCAAACUGUUAUCUCCGGGUGUUGUUCCCUUUGUGAACAGUCUCGGAGCCGGGCAUCAGGACACCAGCUCCUCCCACUUCUGGCUCGGCCUGACCAUCCUCAAGCAGCUGCGGCCUCCAGACCGCUUCCCUCACCCCAAGCAGAGGGGCUGUGGGGCCUGGGCAUGCCGGUGGCCCUCUGGAGGCGCUGGCUGCUGGGCCAGGAACAUGGGAACUGGUGCAAGGGGAUAAUCGGGGUUUCUCAUUCUUAACCCUUGAUUGAAUCUCCCUUCUCUCUCUUUCCCUCUCCCUUCCAAACCCCAGGCUUGUUGCAGGGACGUGUCUGCAGCGCCUGGGGACCGGAGCUGUCCUUCCCCUGUGCGGGCGGGCACCGCCUCCUCCUGGGUGUGAGGAGGAGGGGCCUGGCCAAACGGUUCUGGGCAUGUGAGGUGGGGCGGUGGGCGGGGGGUGCCGGGCAUGUGCAGAGACCUGGUGAUGCCGGGAGGGAUCCAGUACUGUUUGGAAAGUUCUUUUAAGAGUGAAAAGCCCCUUUGGGUUCUUCUUAGACACCUCGCCCUCCCCCAGAUGGUCAGAGCAGAGUUCAUUUCCAAUGCCUCUUUUGUGUAGUGCCAAGCUCCUGUCCCCCAGGAGCUGACGGAUGGCAAAAAGCUGUGGACACCCAGCUUUGCCUGGUCUUAUUCUCUUCCCUCUCCCUCUCCAGAUUGAGUUUGUGACGGGCACCAAGAAAGGCACCACGACCAACGCCACAUCCACCACCACUACCACUGCUAGCACAGCUGUUGCAGGUAGAUUGCAGAGCUGCCCUGCCUCCUGCCACACACAUGGAGCCAGGGUCUCCCUGGCUUGUUUGGGCAACAGACAACACGUGGAUCUGGGCCUGGGCUUAGCCUUGCUACUUUGAGAAGCAGCUUUGUAGUCUAGGGUGGGCCGCUUUGGGGUCUGCUCUCUAGGCUCCCGCCGGCCUGCAAGGGGAAGGGAAAGAGGGCACCGCUCAUUGGUGGAUCGUGAUCCUGACUUCUGCUUUAUCUCCAGAUGCUCAGAAGAGAAAGAGCAAGUGGGACUCGGCUAUCCCAGUGACAACGAUAGCCCAGCCCACCAUCCUCACCACCACGGCCACCCUGCCAGCUGUCGUCACGGUCACCACCAGCGCCAGCGGCUCCAAGACCACCGUCAUCUCUGCUGUGGGCACCAUUGUGAAGAAGGCCAAGCAGUGACCUGAGGGGCCACCCUAGGACUUGAAAGGACCGUGCCGCCCAGUGACCACUGCCCAGUGGGAGGCGCCACUUUGUAUAUUUCAGGACUGGGACCUGCUCCCCAGAUGCCACCUGAGAGGAGCUUCUGUGUGGCAUUCCAGAUGGAAGGACAGGCAGCGCGGGAGCCAGGCACUGUGGACAGGGUCUGUCCACGCACCACCUGGGGUCUGCCGCCUAUUAAAAGUGCCAUAUUCUUACCUCUUGGCAUUUC